rnacentral:rRNA from 1 species
AGGAAUAUUGGUCAAUGGGCGCGAGCCUGAACCAGCCAAGUAGCGUGAAGGAUGAAGGUCCUACGGAUUGUAAACUUCUUUUAUAAGGGAAUAAAGUCACCCACGUGUGGGUGUUUGUAUGUACCUUAUGAAUAAGCAUCGGCUAACUCCGUGCCAGCAGCCGCGGUAAUACGGAGGAUGCGAGCGUUAUCCGGAUUUAUUGGGUUUAAAGGGAGCGUAGGCGGAUUGUUAAGUCAGUUGUGAAAGUUUGCGGCUCAACCGUAAAAUUGCAGUUGAUACUGGCAGUCUUGAGUGCAGUAGAGGUGGGCGGAAUUCGUGGUGUAGCGGUGAAAUGCUUAGAUAUCACGAAGAACUCCGAUUGCGAAGGCAGCUCACUGGAGUGUAACUGACGCUGAUGCUCGAAAGUGUGGGUAUCAAACAGGAUUAGAUACCCUGGUAGUCCACACAGUAAACGAUGAAUACUCGCUGUUUGCGAUAUACAGUAAGCGGCCAAGCGAAAGCAUUAAGUAUUCCACCUGGGGAGUACGCCGGCAACGGUGAAACUCAAAGGAAUUGACGGGGGCCCGCACAAGCGGAGGAACAUGUGGUUUAAUUCGAUGAUACGCGAGGAACCUUACCCGGGCUUGAAUUGCAGACGAAUUGCUUGGAAACAGGCAAGCCGCAAGGCGUCUGUGAAGGUGCUGCAUGGUUGUCGUCAGCUCGUGCCGUGAGGUGUCGGCUUAAGUGCCAUAACGAGCGCAACCCUCGUGUCCAGUUACUAGCAGGUUAUGCUGAGGACUCUGGACAGACUGCCAUCGUAAGAUGUGAGGAAGGUGGGGAUGACGUCAAAUCAGCACGGCCCUUACGUCCGGGGCUACACACGUGUUACAAUGGGGGGUACAGCAGGCAGCUACCGGGCGACCGGAUGCCAAUCCCGAAAGCCUCUCUCAGUUCGGACUGGAGUCUGCAACCCGACUCCACGAAGCUGGAUUCGCUAGUAAUCGCGCAUCAGCCACGGCGCGGUGAAUACGUUCCCG